ACACAUUUUACUAAUCACUCCAAUAUUGUUUACAGAUAAUUAUUACAGACCAGCUGAAUGAAUUACAUAAAAAAUAAAGGAAAAAGAAGAAGUUAACUCUAGGGAGCCUGAAGCAAGCCCAAAAGACUUCCCCAAGCCCCCAAUAGCCUCAAAUGCCAAAGUUCCAUAGACAGUAUCAUGUCUAGGUAUAUCAGAGUUCCCCACGGACCUCAAGGAUCCCAGGUAGUGCUCACACCUAGAACUUUUCUCAAACCAUAACUGACUUAGGUGCAGUGUGGAAAGGCCAGCUCCCACAUGCAAGAGUUCAAAGAGAUAUCAAGGAUCUCACGGUAGUACACAUGCAGAGGGGUAGAACCUAACAUUUUAGGAGUAAUGUGAGAGUGUAUGACAUAACUUUGAAAUGGUUUUUAUAUGAAAUGUAGUGUUGGAAAUGGCUCAAUUAAGUAAGGAAGUUAUAUGAAAAAUAGGAAUUAAUUAGUAAUAAAAUAGUUUUCAAAAUAGUGAACUUGUGAGAAAUACACAAACCAUUCAAACACAGAUUUCACUGAAGGGGUAUGGGAAUUAGGAACACAUAGAACAUAUUAAUUUAUCAACAAGAGCACAGAAG
rnacentral:lncRNA from 1 species